rnacentral:rRNA from 1 species
UACGUAGGGGGGCGAGCGUUGUCCGGAUUUAUUGGGCGUAAAGAGCUCGUAGGUGGUUUGGUAAGUCGGAUGUGAAAUCUCCAGGCUCAACCUGGAGGGGUCAUUCGAUACUGCCAUGACUAGAGUUCGGUAGGGGAGUGUGGAAUUCCUGGUGGAGCGGUGAAAUGCGCAGAUAUCAGGAGGAACACCCGUAGCGAAGGCGGCACUCUGGGCCGAUACUGACACUGAGGAGCGAAAGCGUGGGGAGCGAACAGG